CAGUCGACGGCAGCGCGGGGCAACCUGGCGGCGAGUGGCGAACGGGUGAGUAAUAUAUCGGAACGUGCCCUGGAGUGGGGGAUAACGCAGCGAAAGUUGCGCUAAUACCGCAUACGAUCUAAGGAUGAAAGCAGGGGACCGCAAGGCCUUGUGCUCCUGGAGCGGCCGAUAUCUGAUUAGCUAGUUGGUGGGGUAAAGGCCUACCAAGGCAUCGAUCAGUAGCUGGUCUGAGAGGACGACCAGCCACACUGGAACUGAGACACGGUCCAGACUCCUACGGGAGGCAGCAGUGGGGAAUUUUGGACAAUGGGCGCAAGCCUGAUCCAGCAAUGCCGCGUGAGUGAAGAAGGCCUUCGGGUUGUAAAGCUCUUUUGUCAGGGAAGAAACGGUGAGUUCUAAUACAGUUCACUAAUGACGGUACCUGAAGAAUAAGCACCGGCUAACUACGUGCCAGCAGCCGCGGUAAUACGUAGGGUGCAAGCGUUAAUCGGAAUUACUGGGCGUAAAGCGUGCGCAGGCGGUUUUGUAAGUUUGUCGUGAAAUCCCCGGGCUCAACCUGGGAAUGGCGAUGAAGACUGCAAGGCUAGAAUCUGGCAGAGGGGGGUAGAAUUCCACGUGUAGCAGUGAAAUGCGUAGAGAUGUGGAGGAACACCGAUGGCGAAGGCAGCCCCCUGGGUCAAGAUUGACGCUCAUGCACGAAAGCGUGGGG
rnacentral:rRNA from 1 species